AGGGGUUUCUGCUUCUGUUUCUUCCUCAUUUUCUCUUGCCGCCGCCAUGGAAGACAUGCCUUUCGCCCUCCGCCAUGAUUCUGAGGCCUCCCCAACCAUGCGGAACUGGUCUCACUUCACUCCCCAGACUGAAGUUCCAUGGCAUGAUCAUGGCUCUCUGCAGCCUCAACUUCCCAGCCUCAAGCAACCCUCCCAUCUCAGCCUCCUGAGUUGCUGGAACCACAGGUGUGCAUCACCACGCCCAACUAAUUUUUAAGUUUUUGUAGAAACAGGGUCUCUUUAUGUUGCUGAGGCUGGUUCAAACUCCUGAGCUCAAGCGAUCUUCCCACCGCAGCCCUCCAAAGUGCUGGGACUACAGUGGCUCACGCCUGUAAUCCCAGCACUUUGGGAGGCCGAGGUGGGUGGAUCACGACGUCAGGAGAUCGAGAACAUCCUGGCUAACACGGUGAAACCCUGUCUCUACUAAAAAUACAAAAAAUUAGCUGGGUGUGCUGUUGGGCACCUGUAGUCCCAGCUACUCGGGAGGCUGAGGCAGGAGAAUGGUGGGAACCCAGGAGGUGGAGGUUGCAGUGAGCCGAGAUCACGCCACUGCACUCCAGCCUGGGCGACAGAGUGAGACUCUGCCUCAAAAAAAAAAAAAAAAAAGGUAAACUAUAAACUAAGUUUCUCCCAAAGUUAGUUCAGCUUAUGCCCAGGAAUGAACAAGGGCAGCUUGGAGGUUAGAAGCAAGAAGGAGUCAGUGAAGUUAGAUCUCUUUUGCUGUUUCAGUCAUUAAUUUUGCAAAGGUGGUUUCAGAAGCAGGAGCACUGAUGUCCGAGGACAGGAGAAGGUGAAUGUCCCAGCUCCGAGAGAAUGUGCCUUUCCUCCACUCUUCUGUUCGGCUCCUCAACGGAUGGAACGAUGCCUGCCCGCGUGGAGACAGACUGUUGUUAUGUUGCCCAGACUGGUCUCAAACUCCUGGCCUCAAGUGAUCUUCCUGCCUCAGCCUCUCGGGGUGUUGGGAUUACAGCUCCAGGACUCUACCUCUCAUCAAGGCUGACCAGAAGCAAGAUGAUGGAAGCCAAGAGAGCUCCUCUGCAUGCUCCACUGUCUAAGCUCUGCUCUGCAUCUGCCGUGAUUCUUCUUCCAAACAGAAAACACCGUCUUUCUUUUUGACUACAUCUGUCCUCAGAGAUGGUGCUGAUGGAUCCAUUUAUAAUUUAUGUGAAUUUAAACCUUUGCAAUUUUUACAUGGAAUAAAAGGACCUAUUUUCUGGAAAGAAAA
ensembl:lncRNA ZNF496-DT ZNF496 divergent transcript